UCCCCUACGGGGCGCAGCAGUGAGGAAUAUUGGUCAAUGGGCGCGAGCCUGAACCAGCCAAGUCGCGUGAGGGAAGACGGUCCUAUGGAUUGUAAACCUCUUUUGUCGGGGAGCAAAAGACGCCACGCGUGGCGUUCCGAGAGUACCCGAAGAAAAAGCAUCGGCUAACUCCGUGCCAGCAGCCGCGGUAAUACGGAGGAUGCGAGCGUUAUCCGGAUUUAUUGGGUUUAAAGGGUGCGCAGGCGGAAGAGCAAGUCAGCGGUAAAAAUUCGGGGCUCAACCCGGUCCGGCCGUUGUAACUGGGG
rnacentral:rRNA from 1 species